rnacentral:rRNA from 1 species
GAUGAACGCUGGCGGCGUGCCUAAUACAUGCAAGUCGAGCGAACGGACGAGAAGCUUGCUUCUCUGAUGUUAGCGGCGGACGGGUGAGUAACACGUGGAUAACCUACCUAUAAGACUGGGAUAACUUCGGGAAACCGGAGCUAAUACCGGAUAAUAUUUUGAACCGCAUGGUUCAAAAGUGAAAGACGGUCUUGCUGUCACUUAUAGAUGGAUCCGCGCUGCAUUAGCUAGUUGGUAAGGUAACGGCUUACCAAGGCAACGAUGCAUAGCCGACCUGAGAGGGUGAUCGGCCACACUGGAACUGAGACACGGUCCAGACUCCUACGGGAGGCAGCAGUAGGGAAUCUUCCGCAAUGGGCGAAAGCCUGACGGAGCAACGCCGCGUGGGUGAUGAAGGUCUUCGGAUCGUAAAACUCUGUUAUUAGGGAAGAACAUAUGUGUAAGUAACUGUGCACAUCUUGACGGUACCUAAUCAGAAAGCCACGGCUAACUACGUGCCAGCAGCCGCGGUAAUACGUAGGUGGCAAGCGUUAUCCGGAAUUAUUGGGCGUAAAGCGCGCGUAGGCGGUUUUUUAAGUCUGAUGUGAAAGCCCACGGCUCAACCGUGGAGGGUCAUUGGAAACUGGAAAACUUGAGUGCAGAAGAGGAAAGUGGAAUUCCAUGUGUAGCGGUGAAAUGCGCAGAGAUAUGGAGGAACACCAGUGGCGAAGGCGACUUUCUGGUCUGUAACUGACGCUGAUGUGCGAAAGCGUGGGGAUCAAACAGGAUUAGAUACCCUGGUAGUCCACGCCGUAAACGAUGAGUGCUAAGUGUUAGGGGGUUUCCGCCCCUUAGUGCUGCAGCUAACGCAUUAAGCACUCCGCCUGGGGAGUACGACCGCAAGGUUGAAACUCAAAGGAAUUGACGGGGACCCGCACAAGCGGUGGAGCAUGUGGUUUAAUUCGAAGCAACGCGAAGAACCUUACCAAAUCUUGACAUCCUUUGACAACCCUAGAGAUAGAGCUUUCCCCUUCGGGGGACAAAGUGACAGGUGGUGCAUGGUUGUCGUCAGCUCGUGUCGUGAGAUGUUGGGUUAAGUCCCGCAACGAGCGCAACCCUUAAGCUUAGUUGCCAUCAUUAAGUUGGGCACUCUAAGUUGACUGCCGGUGACAAACCGGAGGAAGGUGGGGAUGACGUCAAAUCAUCAUGCCCCUUAUGAUUUGGGCUACACACGUGCUACAAUGGACAAUACAAAGGGCAGCGAAACCGUGAGGUCAAGCAAAUCCCAUAAAGUUGUUCUCAGUUCGGAUUGUAGUCUGCAACUCGACUACAUGAAGCUGGAAUCGCUAGUAAUCGUAGAUCAGCAUGCUACGGUGAAUACGUUCCCGGGUCU